CCUACGGGAGGCAGCAGUGGGGGAUAUUGCACAAUGGGGGGAACCCUGAUGCAGCGACGCCGCGUGGGUGAAGAAGCGCCUCGGCGCGUAAAGCCCUGGCAGCAGGGAAGAAAAUGACGGUACCUGAAGAAGAAGCCCCGGCUAACUACGUGCCAGCAGCCGCGGUAAUACGUAGGGGGCAAGCGGUAACCGGAUUUACUGGGGGGAAAGGGGGCGCAGACGGCGAUGCAAGCCAGGAGUGGAAGCCCGGGGCCCAACCCCGGGACUGCUCUUGGAACUGCGUGGCUGGAGUGCAGGAGGGGCAGGCGGAAUUCCUGGUGUAGCGGUGAAAUGCGUAGAUAUCAGGAGGAACACCGGUGGCGAAGGCGGCCUGCUGGACUGUAACUGACGUUGAGGCCCGAAAGCGUGGGGAGCAAACAGGAUUAGAUACCCCAGUAGUC
rnacentral:rRNA from 1 species